CGUGGGUAACCUGCCCAUAAGAGGGGGAUAACAUCCGGAAACGGGUGCUAAUACCGCAUAGUUUUCUUGAUCGCAUGAUUGAGAAAGGAAAGACGGCCUUUGUGCUGUCGCUUAUGGAUGGACCCGCGGCGUAUUAGUUAGUUGGUGAGGUAACGGCUCACCAAGACGAUGAUACGUAGCCGACCUGAGAGGGUGAUCGGCCACAUUGGGACUGAGACACGGCCCAAACUCCUACGGGAGGCAGCAGUAGGGAAUCUUCCGCAAUGGACGAAAGUCUGACGGAGCAACGCCGCGUGAGUGAAAAGAAGGUUUUCGGAUCGUAAAACUCUGUUGUCAGAGAAGAACAAGUUGGAGAGUAACUGCUCCAGCCUUGACGGUAUCUGACCAGAAAGCCACGGCUAACUACGUGCCAGCCGCCGC
rnacentral:rRNA from 1 species